AUGUUGAAAAGGUUAGUCACUGAUUCAAACAUUCUUUCUCCUUUCACUCAACUUACUACUUACAAAAACAACUUUGAAUUUCACAUAACUAUACUUGUAUACAGAGGGUUAACAUUCAGAGUUAAGAUUGAAGAAGAAGAAAAAGAAAACUUUAAUAGCUACAACAAGAGUGAGGAAGAGGAGCUUCAAUUACAAAAAAAAAAAAACGGAAAAUCAAAGCUAAUCCAUGGCUAUCUUUUUCUGAAGAUAUUGAAACGAGGAAGAAAGAAGAAUAAGAUGAGGCGGAUAAAAAACAACAAUCAAAUACGUUUGGUUGUAGAGAAACUACCUUUUUGCAUGAUAUGUGAAGCAUACUCCUUUAGUGAGAGGGAGGCAGAGGAGCAAGCUGAACGUGAAAAAGUUUCUAAAUCAUAUGUUAAUUACAUUACAGAUGAGGCUCUUGAAAUCACUUAUAGUUAUUGGGAUGGUGCAGGACAUCGAAGAGUCAUGCAAGUUAGAAAAGGGGAUACAAUUGGCGAGUUUUUACAGGUUUGGCAAUAACUUGCACUUGAAUUUAGAGAAAUAUCAAUAGCUUCAGUUGAAAAUCUUUCAUAUGUUAAAGAGGAUCUAAUUAUUCCACAUAUAUGUAAUAAUUAACACGAUUUCUAUGAGGUGAUUGUGAACAAAGCUAGGGGAAAAAGUGGGCUUUCUCCCACAUGUGGGUUUGAUUUCUCAUUUGCGGCCUCUUAUUUCUACUAUAAUCCCUCUGAAUCAAGCUUGAUUGCAUUGCAGGAUACUGAAUAA